rnacentral:tRNA from 1 species
GGAGAGGUGCCGGAGCGGUCGAACGGGGCGGUCUCGAAAACCGUUGAACCUUCGGGUUCCCAGGGUUCGAAUCCCUGCCUCUCCG